GAUGAACGCUGGCGGCGUGCUUAACACAUGCAAGUCGAACGGUGAAAGCGGAGCUUGCUCUGCUGGAUCAGUGGCGAACGGGUGAGUAACACGUGAGCAAUCUGCCCCUGACUCUGGAGUAAGCGCUGGAAACGGCGUCUAAUCCCGGAUACGAGCUGCGAAGGCAUCUUCAGCAGCUGGAAAGAACUUCGGUCAGGGAUGGGCUCGGGGCCUAUCAGCUUGUUGGUGAGGUAACGGCUCACCAAGGCGUCGACGGGUAGCCGGCCUGAGAGGGUGACCGGCCACACUGGGACUGAGACACGGCCCAGACUCCUACGGGAGGCAGCAGUGGGGAAUAUUGCACAAUGGGCGCAAGCCUGAUGCAGCAACGCCGCGUGAGGGACGACGGCCUUCGGGUUGUAAACCUCUUUUAGCAGGGAAGAAGCGAAAGUGACGGUACCUGCAGAAAAAGCACCGGCUAACUACGUGCCAGCCGCCGCGGUAACAC
rnacentral:rRNA from 1 species